CAGGCGUCAUCGUUGUCGAGGUGUGCGUUCUAAAGCUCCGGGCUAUGCAGAACAGAAGCAUCCAGGAAAGAAAGAGCAAUGGCACACCCCAGUGCCAGGUCUACCUUCUUGGAACUGGGGGGAUGAGUGUGUGUGUGCAUAAGAUGAAACAGCCGCCAAGGAGUCAGUGAUCACAGACACAGACGGGGGUUAAACACCUCACUCUCCUUGUUGUCAAGUCGCCAUCACCUGCACUGUUUAUGCAUCCAUCCUUCAAAGCCUCAGUUAAAGACACCGCUUGUACUCUUUUCUUCACAUCUCCAUUACUGACUCCCGUCCUUAAACUUCCCGAAAACCAGAGCGGGGCACCACAAGAGCGGCGCAUGGACUCUGAGGACACUGCAAACGCAGCAACAUCUCAAACUGUAUUAGGUUUGUUGUGGCAGAUCUGGGUUUCAGCUUUGACUUGAGUAAUGUGUCGUUUAAUUUCUCCGGGAAUUGUUUUUGACAAAACAAGUUAGCGUAAAAAAAAAGAAGUCAGAACAGAAAAGGGUAUGUGCUUUUUUUGUGAAGCGUAUGUCAGUCAUCGCCGAGGUGUUACAGCGAAUGUGACAUCAGAACCCUGGAGGGCUUGCACUCUGCGAGAGGCUCUUUUUGAUAUGAUUUCUGAGAACUGAAGAGUUUAGCGAAAAGAAAGGCACUCACUGGCGUCUCUGUUGUUGGAGAGAGAAAGAAGAAAAAAAAAAUCCAUCUGCAAAAGGUGGCGGUGAAACGGAAGGUGCUCCGCCGUCGCGCUUUUACCCAAUCUUUAUCACGGCGGCUGUCAGUUGAGGUAAAAGGCUGCGAAGGCUGAUGCUAAAUUACACUUUUACUGUGACAGAGGUAAUUACGCUGACAUUAGGGAACACGGGUAAGGACUUGUUUGUCAGCCGU